ACGGAAGGCAGCAGUGAGGAAUAUUGGUCAAUGGUCGGAAGACUGAACCAGCCAAGUCGCGUGCAGGAAGACGGUCCUAUGGAUUGUAAACUGCUUUUGUAUGGGAAUAAAGUGCGGGACGUGUCCCGUUUGGAAUGUACCGUAAGAAUAAGGGUCGGCUAACUCCGUGCCAGCAGCCGCGGUAAUACGGAGGACCCGAGCGUUAUCCGGAUUUAUUGGGUUUAAAGGGUGCGCAGGCGGAGGAUUAAGUCAGCGGUGAAAUUUUCAUGCUCAACAUGAAAACUGCCAUUGAUACUGGUCCCCUUGAGAGAUGUCGAGGAUGGCGGAAUGUGAUGUGUAGCGGUGAAAUGCUUAGAUAUGUCACAGAACACCGAUUGCGAAGGCAGCUGUCCAGCGAUCUUCUGACGCUCAGGCACGAAAGCAUGGGUAUCAAACAGGAUUAGAUACCCUGGUA
rnacentral:rRNA from 1 species